rnacentral:rRNA from 1 species
GAUGAACGCUGGCGGCGUGCCUAAUACAUGCAAGUCGAGCGAACAGACGAGGAGCUUGCUCCUCUGACGUUAGCGGCGGACGGGUGAGUAACACGUGGAUAACCUACCUAUAAGACUGGGAUAACUUCGGGAAACCGGAGCUAAUACCGGAUAAUAUAUUGAACCGCAUGGUUCAAUAGUGAAAGCCGGUUUUGCUGUCACUAAUAGAUGGAUCCGCGCCGCAUUAGCUAGUUGGUAAGGUAACGGCUUACCAAGGCAACGAUGCGUAGCCGACCUGAGAGGGUGAUCGGUCACACUGGAACUGAGACACGGUCCAGACUCCUACGGGAGGCAGCAGUAGGGAAUCUUCCGCAAUGGGCGAAAGCCUGACGGAGCAACGCCGCGUGAGUGAUGAAGGUCUUCGGAUCGUAAAACUCUGUUAUUAGGGAAGAACAAAUGUGUAAGUAACUAUGCACGUCUUGACGGUACCUAAUCAGAAAGCCACGGCUAACUACGUG